GUGUUAAUCUGCCCCCCCCCCCUCUUUUUCAGGUUGGAGCCUGCUGGAGUCCAGUGGUUGACACCAGGUUUGAUGAAGUAUUCCUGUGAACUCACAAUCGACACCAACACGGUAAACCACAGAAUCCAACUGUCUGACAACAACAGGAAGGGGACACUUGUGGAGGGCUCUGUGUUAUAUCCUGAUCAUCCAGACAGAUUUGACCCCACUGCGCUGCUGUGUAGAGAAGGUCUGACUGGGCGCUGUUACUGGGAGAUUGAGUGGACAGGAGGAGUGUUUAUAUCAGUGAGUUACAGAGGAAUCAGCAGGAAA